UGCCUGUGGAAACGGCAUGGGAUGCUGGUAAGAGGUUUUCCAGACCCGAAACGAGGCCAACUCCGCGGCGGGGAUUAAACAUCUCGAUUUUAGGAAUUCAUUCAACAAAUAUUUGUUGAGUGCUUAUUCUGAGCCAGGCUCUGGACCAGAUGCUACAGAGAUCGACAGAGCACCGCGGCUGCCCUCUAAGAAGACACAGAUGAAUGGAAAAUUCCAUGGAUUUCCUCACUCUCUGGAAGGAUGUGUGUGUGUGAGAGAGACAGAAAACUCAAGACAAUACACGAAGCACAUGGUUGCCGGGGGAUUGGAGAGAGGCGACGAGCCUCCCAGAUCAGCCAAAUCAGCCACAGCAGAGAACGAACGUGGACUUUCGACAUGGAGGCGAGCGGACAUAGAAGGUGUAGAUGUUAGUGACCUGCCUGCCCUGAUGGGUUCAGACAACGAUGAGAUGUUGGCAGAUGACCCUCUUUCUCUCUCGCCUACACCCCAGUCUCCUGGACCUCCCACCACCCCAACCUCCGAUGACUCAGCCCAACACACCGUCAUCACCAUCACCACCUCUCAGCCUUCCAUUGUGCUCGCUGUCUUCCCGAUUCUAGUAGGGGAAACUACACUGUUCAUAUGUGAUUUCUACUUUCUGUAGGCUGUGUAUUUAUUACUUCAUUCCUGCUUUUACUAUAUGUUAGGGUUUUACUAUAUUUUAGGGUUACGUGUUAUUUGGUAUAAUUUGGUAGGUUAUUUCUUGAAUCUGAGAACACAACAAAUUUUUCCCACAUACGUUAAAUGGUAAUUGCUUCUUUGCUUUAUGCCAUUUUGGCUUAGGAAAGGUUUCAAAGGAAUGCUCUAUUUUCGGAUACUGAGGGAAACCUGUAUAUCAAAUGAUUAUGUUGUACACCUUUAACUUAUACAAUGUACAUUUCAAUUAUAUCUCAAUAAAACUGGAAAAAAUUUUGAAUUUCUAUAUACUGGCAAUGAAUGGUCAGAAAGUGAAAUUUUUAAAGAUGUCAUUUACAAUAGGACCAAAAACCAUGAAACACUUAGAUGGCCAAGACCUA